UGGCGCUGUACUGCCACUGGGUCUGCUGGUCUACUGAGAGUCACCAGCUGGCUGGACGUGCCUCUCAGGGCUCGACGGGUCCGUUCUUCGUGGCCCGCACAAUGGUCACUCAGAGCCGCAUUGUUGUAUUAAAUGAGAAAAAUAAGAGAGAGUGUGAAAGGCGAACAACCGAGCGCGACAAGAAAUCCAUUAAAAGGCUGCAACAAUGUAUAAACCCGGAAUACGGUCGUCGACAGGAGAGCAAAUCAAUAACUGCAUGAAAGGCCAGGCGGAAUCCUGCCGGAGGGGGAAAAAAACAGCGCAAUCCCUCCGUGUAGAAGACUGGAAUAUGGCGCCAAUAACUUCACGUAUCAGAAGAAUCAGGAGGAGGAUCAGGAUGAGCCAAGUCAGAAAUGCGCAAUUUCGCACAGCACUAAAUUUUGCACCUUUUCUUGGAUAAAUGUGAACCAAAAUGUGCAGAUUUUGGCGUGAAAUUUUAAAGGGGAUAAAAUGUAAAUUUUAAAAUGUUGAUAAAAAAUUUAGAAUUGUCAAUUUUGAAGCAGAUUUGCCGCUGCAACAUUUGAAAAUGUAAUGGCAAAUAUGACGCAGAUUUUAAUAUGUCAAUAGGGAAAAGUCUGCAACAAAUCCUCAGUAUACACUCACUGGCCCCAUGCUGGAAACAUUCCUCAG